ACAUUUAAGUUAGUGAAAGGGUAAAGAAGUUCAAAGUCAAAGUUUUGACGUACAAGCGGUGGCUUCAGCAACCAUUUUUGGAGAUACAACGAAGUAAAAAAACUCACAAUGAACUAAUAUUGUCUAAAUUCAUUAAUUCGUUUAAUGAAUAAGACACGUUCUUCUUCUUCAUUCAAUCUGAACGACAAAGACUAAAAGAAGGAGAUGAACGCAUCGAUUAUAGAGUAACUAAAACAAACCUAUUGUAUAGAAAGUUUUGUUCAUUAAUGCGAGGGUUGCUAUUAACAUUUUGGAUCCGGAAAACGGAUUUCUUCAAAUAAUCAUUGAAGGGUGUAAUGUUUUUUAAAGGGUGAUUUUUUGGCUAUUAUCCUUUUGGUAACACUGGUUUAAAUAGCUCACGCACGUUUCGUAUAAGCAAAAUUGUCGAUUUCGGAGUGAAGACCAGCCAGAAGCAUUGCAAGAGCUACCAAGUCACCCAGAAAAAUUCGAAUGAUGCGAAUCGUAACGUAACUGUGAAUGGUGAGCGUUAUAAUUAGAUGAUAUCUAACUUUUUUGCCCAAAAUGCAAGAGCUUGACUUGCAUGACAUGUGGUUUCAACAAGACGGGCUUAUUGAGAGGCGAGUUCGGUGAAUAUUUUAUUUUACGUUCGGGACCGUUCAAAUGGCCGCCUAAAUAGUGCAAUUUAAUGCUAUUAGACUAUUUUUGUGGGGCUUUGUUAAAGCUCAUGUCUAUACAUGAUAUAAUUACCAGGUAGUGUACCGUAAACAGCUGACUAACAUUUUUUCUCGCGAAGUGCAUUAUCUGUCAACGAGUUUUGGUUGUAUGUGUUGUAGUUAAGAACCAUAACACACACAAACAACGCAAAAUGACGCGAACUAGUAACUUACACAAAAUCAGAGUUGCACUAAUCACUGAUUUUGACAGAUAGUGCACUCAACAUUUUGUUGUUGGGCAACUGCCACUACCUGUAAAUGUGUCUAUACAGACAAGCCCGCUUUAAUUAACGCAUUGGAAGACAACAUUGAAGCAUUUGUUGGUGAGAUACUGGCCGAAAUGUUGGGAAGAGUAUGCCAAAGUUGGACUGGACCAUUUGAGGGGCUGUCACGGUCAACAUUUGCAUGAAAUAAUCUUCAAAUAUUGAAUUAUGUGAACUGUACUAUCGAUUCAAAUAAAGAUUUAAUGAUUUUUUUUAAACUUUCCUAUAGCUCUUAAAAAAUCACCCUUUAAAACAACACUA